GAUGAAGAACGCAGCGAAAUGCGAUAAGUAAUGUGAAUUGCAGAAUUCAGUGAAUCAUCGAAUCUUUGAACGCACAUUGCGCCCGUCAGUAUUCUGGCGGGCAUGCCUGUUCGAGCGUCAUUACGCCCCUCAAGUCCCCUGUGGACUUGGUGUUGGGGAUCGGCGAGGCUGGUUUUCCAGCACAGCCGUCCCUUAAAUUAAUUGGCGGUCUCGCCGUGGCCCUCCUCUGCGCAGUAGUAAAACACUCGCAACAGGAGCCCGGCGCGGUCCACUGCCGUAAAACCCCCCAACUUUUUAUAGUUGACCUCGAAUCAGGUAGGACUACCCGCUGAACUUAAGCAUAUUAAUAAGCGGAGGA
rnacentral:misc_RNA from 1 species